rnacentral:rRNA from 1 species
AGAACGAACGCUGGCGGCAGGCUUAACACAUGCAAGUCGAACGCUCGUAGCAAUACGGGAGUGGCAGACGGGUGAGUAACGCGUGGGAACAUACCCUCCGGUUCGGAAUAACUCAGGGAAACUUGAGCUAAUACCGGAUACGGCUGAGAGGCGAAAGAUUUAUCGCCGGAGGAUUGGCCCGCGUUCGAUUAGCUUGUUGGUGAGGUAACGGCUCACCAAGGCGACGAUCGAUAGCUGGUCUGAGAGGAUGAUCAGCCACAUUGGGACUGAGACACGGCCCAAACUCCUACGGGAGGCAGCAGUGGGGAAUAUUGGACAAUGGGCGCAAGCCUGAUCCAGCCAUGCCGCGUGAGUGAUGACGGCCUUAGGGUGUAAAGCUCUUUCGCUCGGGACGAUAAUGACGGUACCGAGAUAAGAAGCCCGGCUAACUUCGUGCCAGCAGCCGC